CCGUACUGUCAAUCAAAGCAGACGCCCUGCCCCUCCCUGUGGCGCCGCGGCGGUACGGUAGGCGCGAAGGGGAAUUCUGCCUGGCAACUAAGGACGUCAGCGAAGGCCGGCUUGUUAUUGGGUAGAACACAGGGGCCCUGCACCACGGGGCUGAAAUGACCCUCUGGGGUCACGGCAGAAAAAUGAUAAAAGUUACGGGCUGGGAGCUGCGGCAGCCCCGAGGCGGGAAGAGGCGACCGGGGGUGAAGCCUCCACUUCCUGCCCGUGAGGCCGCGGAAGGCGAUGUUCCGUGCGGAAGGGCCCUGGCUCUGUGUGUCUUGCUGCGCAUGCGCCCGGCGGGAGCUCGGCCUGGCCCGGCCUGCGCGUCCCUCGCGCCCGGCCCCGCAUUUGGGUCACGCUUCCCUCAGGGCUCGGCGCGGGAGCCGCGGCUGUGCCGGGCUCCGAACUUUGAUGCCGCAGCUUCAAGGUCGGCCACGCAGCCGGGUCAGCACGGCGGGAACAGGCGGUUUGUGAGGCCGCCGUCACCCUGUGGCAGGGGAGCUGCGCUCCUGCCCUGGCCGGGCCAGAGCUGAUCCCCCCUCCUUCCCUCCACUGCACACUUUCCCUUGCGUUGGCCGUGUUAAUGUUCUCACGGAGAAAGUUCUCUUGUUUGUUGGUUUCUUAGCUGCUUUCUCCUCUUUACCCCCUCUCUUUGUCAAUUUUUAUAGCCUUUCACGCUGCAGUAGGUUAAUUUCUUUAUUUGUUUUCUCUUACUUUUAAAAUAUUUCUACGAAGCUCUCCCUUGGCUACUAUUGAACUAUUUCUACACCCUAUUUUUAUUCUUUGAACUGAUUUUCGGCCUUCCUUAAGCAGUCCAAGCGAGUGGGUUUGCGUGGAAGCCGAAAAAGGGAGCCACGAAACUUCCUGGGUUUUUCCCUCCUUGCAACCUCUGAAAGAUCUGUGCCAUCAGAAAGCAUGCCAUUAAUAGCAAUCCAUACCUUUUUAUACCUAUACCCUACUUUUUUAGGGUAUGAACUUAGCUUGGCUGCACUUUGGGUUGUUUAUUCUGAAACACAGAACGUGCAAACUGCGGAAAGCAGUGAGUAAGCUUGGGAAGAACAGAGUAAUCAAUAAUGCAUCUGUAUUUGGGUCUUAACACUGGACAUUCCAAGGGUCAAAAAUAAAGUUUUCCAAGUUUUAUUUUAAUGUCAACAUUUUAUUUUAAUGUAACUGCUUAGAAGACAGCUCUUUUACCUUUCCUGGGAUAAAACCUGUGACAUGUCUAUGCAGGCAUGCAAAUAACAUAAAAUUAAUGAGAACCUAUAGCUGAAUCAAAGGAGUCUUCUAUAGACACAUAAAAUAACAUUGUUCCUGUAAUAAAAACAUGAACAAGACUUCACUAGCCUGAGUGGGAAGACUGCAAUUGUGGAUGAUGACUUGUAGUAAAAUAAGUGAUGGAGUCCCUCCUGUUCCUUUAAAAGGGAAAAGAAAAAUGAAUCCCAGGUCUCAUUACUACUUUCUGUGUUUUCCAUCCCCAAGUCCUUCAUCACAUAAAACAGAUGUGGGCUAUUGAUGUUCUCCAUCACUUAUGUCUAAAUAGCUUACCUCCUCUUUCAUCUUUUUGCCUUCCACUUCAUUCUCCAGGAAAUUCACUUGCCUCUGUGUUGUUCCAUUUUUGCAAUCUUUGCAUUGUCCUUUUGUCUAUCUGUAAUAUUGCCCCAAUUUACUGACAGGUCUCCAAGCGAAGGCUUUGAGGCUUCAUUAUGAUGUACUUGAGGUUUAUUGAUCGUGGCUGCAGUGUGGUGGUAUCCAUCAGCAUUUACAGAGGUCACAAACAUCCCUGGCAUUUUACACUGGGAUCACUGCAGUGGAAGGCAUAGAUUAUGUUGGAAGUGAGAUAUCAUUGCUACUGAAAAUUUCUGCUUGGCAUCUGGAAUCUCCUUCCUGCUUGCUGCCUUCGUAUUAGCACCCUGUUCCUUUAUCCCAUUCCCUCAUUUCCUACCUCUGCAUGCAUGUGUGCACAGAACUCUUAAUGGACUUGUAUCCUCUCUAUUUCUUCUGUCCUUCUACCCCACAAUAUUUUUAAUUUUUUUUUACCCAAUCAAUCUUUUCCUCUGCCUGACUUCUCACAGGUAUAAGUUGUUCCCCUACCAGCAUUGACAGUGAUAGAUUAAGGAUGGAAUUACUUAUCUGCACCUUGUAAUCCAAACAGAAUCGCAGUCUGCUGUUAGCAGUCCACAGGGGUUGCUGCUGAAUAAAUUGGAAUGCUGGUAGCUGUGCUCACUGAAGCUUCUCUCAUCUUGAAUACGUGAGAAAGAGGGGAAGAGGAACCCUGUGGAUUUAAACUAAAAAACCCCCAACAACAGAGGGUGAUGGCCUUACCCUAGAGAAGUGUUUAUUAGGUUAAAUCCUGUAUUUAGCAGCUCAGGAGGAACAGAACACUCUUUUCAUUCACACAUUUAAUUCUUCCCUCAAACAAAACAAGAUUAUUUUGAGUGGGAAGUGCCCCUUCUCUCAUGUGAGCAGGAAAAGUUUUCCUGACAGCCACAAGACCCUGAAAUUUGAGGUCACAUUCCCUUAAACCAGCAGUUGAACUGCACGUGUCAUGUGUGGCUCGCAUUUCAUCUGGCUGCCUUGUGCAGCAAUGGUGGAACUGCAUCUCCAGCAGGAGUGGCAAGGAAUUUCAGACAUCAGGGAAGCAAAUUAUGGAACACUUACUGUUCAGGGCAAGAAGAUGGAAGAUGGCAAUUAAGAAAUUUAAGAUUCAUCAUCUUCUGACCACAUUGGUGGAAUGUGGAGGGGUUUUGACACUGCACAGAAGAUGGUCAUGUCUUACAGGAACUGGC